rnacentral:rRNA from 1 species
UACGUAGGUGGCAAGCGUUGUCCGGAUUUACUGGGCGUAAAGGAUGCGUAGGCGGACAUUUAAGUCAGAUGUGAAAUACCCGAGCUUAACUUGGGUGCUGCAUUUGAAACUGGGUGUCUAGAGUGCAGGAGAGGUAAGUGGAAUUCCUAGUGUAGCGGUGAAAUGCGUAGAGAUUAGGAAGAACACCAGUGGCGAAGGCGACUUACUGGACUGUAACUGACGCUGAGGCAUGAAAGCUAGGGGAGCAAACAGG